CUUCCACUGUGGGCUGCCUCGCUCAGCUCUUUCUCAGCUAGUCCCUCCUCAUCUUCGUUCCCACCGGGCGAGAGAAACCACCUGAGUCCCAGGCUCAGAGGCCGCUAAGGGGAAGGAGCCUCCAGGUGGCAGCAGGCCCAGCCUCUGCCUGUGCCCUGUGCAGGGCACCAGGCCUAGUACAGCAUAGGCCUCCCGAGGCUGUGUGGCAGGUAAGGUGCAGGCGGACUGGAGCUCAGGACUGGUGUCUGCAGAGGCUGCGCCUAGUGUGACACGGAGGCCGAGGCUCUGGGAGGUACAGGAGACGAUGCUGUGCAGGGAGGAGAGGUGCCUCUCUCUCGUGGGGCCAGGGAGGAAGCUAGACUCAAGAGGAAUCUCUGUGCUGGCCAUUCCUGGCAGCAGGCAGCUGUGCUUCUCUUCCACCGAAUGAGGAUGCUAAGCAACCGCCUCUGGGAGUCUGUGACCUGCAGCAUGCAGAGCCUACUGGCACCCUGGGCACGCUCUGUCUCCCAGGAGGCAGCCAUGACCAGUUCCUAUUUUACAGUCGAGGAAAUGUAAGCUCCAAGGCUGUGACUUGUCUGCACCACACAACGAG
rnacentral:lncRNA from 1 species